rnacentral:rRNA from 1 species
GUGAUGGCGUGCCUUUUGUAGAAUGAACCGGCGAGUUACGAUUUGAUGCAAGGUUAAGCAGUAAAUGUGGAGCCGUAGCGAAAGCGAGUCUGAAUAGGGCGUUUAGUAUUUGGUCGUAGACCCGAAACCAGGUGAUCUACCCUUGGUCAGGUUGAAGUUCAGGUAACACUGAAUGGAGGACCGAACCGACUUACGUUGAAAAGUGAGCGGAUGAACUGAGGGUAGCGGAGAAAUUCCAAUCGAACCUGGAGAUAGCUGGUUCUCUCCGAAAUAGCUUUAGGGCUAGCCUCAAGUGAUGAUUAUUGGAGGUAGAGCACUGUUUGGACGAGGGGCCCCUCUCGGGUUACCGAAUUCAGACAAACUCCGAAUGCCAAUUAAUUUAACUUGGGAGUC